UCAAAUCUCUCUCCUUUUCCUCUCCAAUCUCUUUGUACCUAGUUAGUACAGAAUCCUCUUGAAUCCCUCAACCAGAAUCCCCUUUUCCUCUCCAAAACUAAAAUUCACAAAACCCUAAUCUUUCAUUUAUGAAAAAUCUAGAUCUCUUCAAUCUCAAAUCCUCGUUCUCCCUCUAUCUCCCCUAGACUUCUUGAUUUUACAUUCUUUGAAUAUUGAAGGGAUAACCUGCAUCAAGUUGACGAGAGACUAGCAGUGGUAAUCGAAAAACAAAAGCAGUCUUCAAAUCUGGAGAUGAGUAGACUUGAUGCAAGGAUCAUGCAGAAACUUGAUGUCAUGCAGCAAUUGGAACAUGAGCUUAAGGCCAUGUCUACCUUUGAUUACUGAGAAGUUAUGUUACUCCUCGGGAAGAAGUUCUUGCCGGCACGUUUGGAGGAUUUAGCAGGCAAAGAUGCCAAAGAGAAAUUUGAUGCUGCUACAAAAGACCUUUUUGCGGAGCUUGCACUUAAGGCCAAAAGUAAUGUCAACAAAGGAGGUGAUGAUUCAAAACAGAUACAGGCAAUGUCAAAGAAAAAGAAGAAGAAGGAUUACAGAAGAGCUAAGAAUCCAAAGGGCGUUGGUCAUGACAAAGAGGCUCUCACCCAUCGAGAAACUGAAGAACAAGUGAAGCUUAGGCUACUUUGAAUGCUAAGGAUAUCCAAUCACAAAUACAAAAUCACCUAUGGCUAUAGUACGAAAGUAGCUACAGUAAAGCUAGGGUCCUCAAAGAAUCGUUGUUGAUGUGAUUAUGAUGUCUUCUCGGUUUCCAUUUGCAGAUGUGUGAUUAGGACAUCGAUGUUUUGGGUGGUGGCAACAACCUGUGGAGUUGGACUGGCCAUCAACUUCACCUCUAUGUGGUUUUUAAACCAAACAAGUCCCACCAUGUACAGGUAAGAGUCAUAUACCACUGAGAGACUACUAAUGAAUAGUCUUCCUACCGCCACAUACAAGUAAGAGUCAUAUGCCUCCCAUCCGCACAGGGUCCAUUAGAUCAAUAGUCUUCCUACCAAAGACUGUACUUUUGUUGAAGAUGAGGACCCCAUGUAAUCUCUUUGACCAAUAGUCUUUGAUUGAUAUCUUGACAUGCCUCUUACCAUUUGAUAUCAUGAAUAUCUUUUGGAGUCAAUGAGUUUUGGGUUUGAAGGUAAUGUACUUGAUCCUCUAGUUUGAAAUUUUUUGCCAUGUGGUCUACAUGUGGUGUAAAACCAGCUUUCAACUUAUAAUUUUGGGUUAUAGUUUUUCUAUCCUUUUACUUUACAUGAGUCAGCAAAAAGGCCGAUAACUGGUAUAUGCUUGAUGUGAAGGGACAUUCAAAAUUCUCCUUAAUGCAGGUCUUCCCAUAGAUGGAAGUCUAUUACUCUUUGUUAUUUUGUUUGCUGUAACCAUUUCUUUGAGUCCCCAUUAUUUUUUACUGAUCUUCAGAGACCAUUAUUGUUCUUUCUUAUGAAGUGUUGUAUUCUCUUUCUUCUCGAGCUAGUUCCCUUUUAUUUCAUGUCUAUCUUUUUUCAUCUUGGCUAUAAAGAAUUAGAAGCUCACUUCACUGGCUUUUGCAAAAUUUGGAAUUUGCUAGCAACAUAGUAAUUUAGCCUUCUUUUUUUCUUAUCACCUUUUAUUUUGUUGCAAACUCCAAAAUACAUGUAUGGUAUUCUUAUUUCUCUACUUCAUAAAUCAUCUUUAGAGACAUGAAAUAUUUAUUUUUCAUUGUUGGUAGUUGAGUGAACACAAGAGCCUAUCGCAUAAGAACAAAUGGUAGAGAUCAAGUCUCUUAAAGCACUGAUCUUUCAGAGUGAUGCUUAUCAAGCCACAGGCUGCUACAAUCUCCUAUUCUCAGGAUGAUGAUUUAGAUGAAUUGAUUUACACUCCAGAUUUGUUGGUUUGAGCUAAUUCCUUUUUUUCUGUUGCUUUUCUCCAUAAUCUUUCAAAAGGGGACAAAAUCUUCAUAAUCCAUUAAUUCUUUUUUUCCAUAUAGAUUGUUGAUGUUUUGUUGAGAGCACGUCAUCUCAAAAUUACAAAAGAUUACAGUUCUAUUUUUUUUUUUCCUCCAAUGAAUCUGUUUUGGAGCAGUUCCAUACUUUUGUUUGGAGCAGUUCCAUACUCUGUUUUGGAGUAGUUCCAUACAUUGUUUUCCAUGUAAAUGUUAAGAGAGUUUUUAAGAAUGGGUCCCAUACCAAACAUUUUCAGUUACAUAGAACUGAAGACUGCCACCGAAGACUUCAAUCCUGCAAGUAAGCUAGGUCAAGGUGGAUUUGGCACCAUUUUUAAGGUCAGUUUGUUUUUAUUCUAUGUAAACUACAAUGAUCAGAAGAUUUAAAUGGUCCAGAGCCUCAGUAUGGUGACUGCAUGCAUGUGGGGGCCAGCUAUGGAUGAGGAAAGCCCACUCCUUGAUGGAACAAUCGCAAACCUUUGAUAGGAGAGUAAAUUGCAUCUGGAUUGGCAUACCUGCUUUGAGAUAUGCUUGGGGACUGCAAGAGGUCUCGCUUACAUUCACAAGGAAUCUAGGCCUCACAUUGUUCAUAGGGAUGUCUAAUGGAAUGAAGCUGUACUCAGGCUAGACAUAUGGCCAGAUAGACAAAUUUUGUGAGUUCUCUCUAUUGCAUCUUAAUAGACUGCUCAUCUCUUCCACAUUGUAGUCAAAAUGGAGUUUAUUCAUUUUAUCAUGGAUAUCUGAUUAAUUGUAAUUUA